UAAAGGUUUAGUCCUGGCUUUAUUGUCAUCUUUAACCAAACUUACACAUGCAAGUAUCCGCAGCCCUGUGAGGAUGCCCUGACAGUUUUCUGUUGAAAACAAGGAGCUGGCAUCAGGCACUCCAUAUUUAAAGCCCACAACGCCUUGCUCAGCCACACCCCCAAGGGAAUUCAGCAGUGAUAAAUCUUAAGACAUAAGUGAAAACUUGACUUAGUUAUGGUUAAGAGGGCCGGUAAAACUCGUGCCAGCCACCGCGGUUAUACGAGAGGCCCAAGUUGACAGACUGCGGCGUAAAGCGUGGUUAAGACAGAUCAACAACCUAGACCACCUAUAAACCUAAAUAUAGGAUAUCUAAUUAAAACUAUAGCCGAAUGACCUCAAAGCAGUUAUACGCAUAUGAGACCACGAAGCCCCCUUACGAAAGUAGCUCUAACCUAAUCUGACUCCACGAAAGCUGAGAUACAAACUGGGAUUAGAUACCCCAUUAUGCUUAGCUGUAAACACUGAUAGAAAAACACUUAACCUAUCCGCCCGGGUACUACGAGCUUCAGCUUGAAACCCAAAGGACUUGGCGGUACUUUAGACCCACCUAGAGGAGCCUGUUCUAUAAUUGAUAAUCCCCGUUCAACCUCACCCUCCCUUGCUAAACCCGUCUAUAUACCGCCGUCGUAAGCUUACCCUCUGAGGGACUUAUAGUAAGCAGAAUUGGUACAACCCAGAACGUCAGGUCAAGGUGUAGCGCAUGGGAGGGGAAGAGAUGGGCUACAUUCACUAAGUUCUAGUGAAUCACGGAAGGUGUCAUGAAAACCACACUCUCAAAGGAGGAUUUAGUAGUAAGCAGGAAAUAGAGUGUCCUGCUGAAGCUGGCUCUAAAGUGCGCACAUACCGCCCGUCACUCUCCCUGAAAAUAUCACCCCACCUACCUCAAGAUGCCGAAAAUUUCAUUAAGGGAGACAAGUCGUAACAUGGUAAGUGUACCGGAAGGUGCACUUGGAAAAAUAU
rnacentral:ncRNA from 1 species